UACGAAGGGUGCUAGCGUUGUUCGGAAUUACUGGGCGUAAAGCGUGCGUAGGCGGGUUGCUAAGUCAGGUGUGAAAUCCCGGGGCUCAACCUCGGAACUGCAUUUGAUACUGGCGGCCUAGAGACCGGGAGAGGUGAGCUGAAUACCGAGUGUAGAGGUGAAAUUCGUAGAUAUUCGGUGGAACACCAGUGGCGAAGGCGGCUCACUGGACCGGUACUGACGCUGAGGCACGAAAGCGUGGGGAGCAAACAGG
rnacentral:rRNA from 1 species